ensembl:lncRNA
CCUGCCAUGUCCUAAGCUGUCCUGUGGAGAGCCCCCUGGUAACCUGGCAGUGGGGACCUGCAGCCUUAAGUCCAGUGCCCUUAGAGGAAUGAAUCCUCCUAGUAAACUAGCGAGUGAGCUUGGGCGUGCAUGGUCCCAGAUAAGCCUUCAGAUGUCGCCACGGCUCUGGCAGACAUUCUGCCUCUGCCUCAGCAUCUAACAGACCUGGAGCCAAAGGCACAGAACCAAGCUUUGCCCACAGUCCUGACCCAAGAGAUGGGAAAAAAUAAAUGUUCUGGGGUGCUAAAUUUUGGGUUCAUUUUGGAUGCAAAAGUGGAGCUCAAGAACAGUCUUCUACCUUUAAGUGGGAGUGUCGCUUCUCACGGUGUGGUGAUGUGUACAUCUGAUCCCACCCCUCAUUAAACUGAGGCAAGACCAUCUCGAGUUCAAGGCCAGCCCAGAGUACAAAGCAAGACUUUUAUCUCAAAAAAAAUGAAAAACAAAAAAGAAAAAGAAAAAGAAAGUGUUGUCCUUUUAGUGGUAGCAGUAAGAAAUCCUGACUCACAGAAAUGCAUUUUCAGAAGUUCAGGUGAGGCCCCGGGAUUUAGUUCAGUGGUUUCGCUGCCUGCUGCGCAAGUAAAAGGACCCAAGUUCGAUCUCCAGUAUCAAAAAAAAGAAGUUCAGGAGAACAAGUCCCCAUCAUUUCUUUUUCUAAUGCUGGGGAUGGAACUCAGGACCUCACACAUGCCAGACAAUCCUUCUGUACCCUGGAUUUUAAAAAUUCGGCAUGAGCUGGACGCCAACAGCGAGGGCCCACCUACUCCACGCCCCGGGUGGAUCUUCUCUCCAGCCGGCUAGCCCGCGUCUGCGGAAGGGCCAGUUGUCCUGGCAACCAGCUGCUCUCCCAGCAACC